rnacentral:rRNA from 1 species
GAGUAACCUGCCCCUGACUCUGGGAUAAGCCUGAGAAAUUGGGUCUAAUACUGGAUAUGAACAUUUACCGCAUGGUGGGUGUUGGAAAGAUUUUUUGGUUGGGGAUGGACUCGCGGCCUAUCAGCUUGUUGGUGAGGUAGUGGCUCACCAAGGCGACGACGGGUAGCCGGCCUGAGAGGGUGACCGGCCACACUGGGACUGAGACACGGCCCAGACUCCUACGGGAGGCAGCAGUGGGGAAUAUUGCACAAUGGGCGAAAGCCUGAUGCAGCGACGCCGCGUGAGGGAUGACGGCCUUCGGGUUGUAAACCUCUUUCAGUAAGGAAGAAGCGAAAGUGACGGUACUUGCAGAAGAAGCGCCGGCUAACUACGUGCCAGCAGCCGCGGUAAUACGUAGGGCGCGAGCGUUAUCCGGAAUUAUUGGGCGUAAAGAGCUCGUAGGCGGUUUGUCGCGUCUGCCGUGAAAGUCCGGGGCUUAACUCCGGAUCUGCGGUGGGUACGGGCAGGCUAGAGUGCAGUAGGGGAGACUGGAAUUCCUGGUGUAGCGGUGAAAUGCGCAGAUAUCAGGAGGAACACCGAUGGCGAAGGCAGGUCUCUGGGCUGUAACUGACGCUGAGGAGCGAAAGCAUGGGUAGCGAACAGGAUUAGAUACCCUGGUAGUCCAUGCCGUAAACGUUGGGCACUAGGUGUGGGGGACAUUCCACGUUUUCCGCGCCGUAGCUAACGCAUUAAGUGCCCCGCCUGGGGAGUACGGCCGCAAGGCUAAAACUCAAAGGAAUUGACGGGGGCCCGCACAAGCGGCGGAGCAUGCGGAUUAAUUCGAUGCAACGCGAAGAACCUUACCAAGGCUUGACAUGGACUAGAUCGCCGCAGAGAUGCGGUUUCCCUUCGGGGCUGGUUCACAGGUGGUGCAUGGUUGUCGUCAGCUCGUGUCGUGAGAUGUUGGGUUAAGUCCCGCAACGAGCGCAACCCUCGUUCUAUGUUGCCAGCACRUUAUGGUGGGGACUCAUAGGAGACUGCCGGGGUCAACUCGGAGGAAGGUGGGGACGACGUCAAAUCAUCAUGCCCCUUAUGUCUUGGGCUUCACGCAUGCUACAAUGGCCGGUACAAAGGGUUGCGAUACUGUGAGGUGGAGCUAAUCCCAAAAAGCCGGUCUCAGUUCGGAUUGGGGUCUGCAACUCGACCCCAUGAAGUCGGAG